rnacentral:lncRNA from 1 species
UGAAAGCAUUCGAAAAUAAAGUACCAAAGUUUAUAGAAUUCAAAACAAAACUGUUUACGAACAUCCCAAAUCAAAUUGUACCACAAUCUUUAUAGAUGUUUGUAGUUCAAAACAGAUCACAAAUGUAUAAAUCUGAAACAUCGUUUUAUUAGUCUGACUUAAAACAUAUCACUCUGAGACCUCCGGCAUGCCAAGUUCAGCUACAGAAAACGAGGGUACCUACAAAGGGAUAAACUAAAAAGGGUGAGCUACACGAGCUCAGUGUGAGUUCAAAAACGAUAGAUAAAUGAAUACCAAAAUGUCACAAUAAAAAAAAUAAAACUCAAUAGCAAUCCAAUAUACAAAUAGUCUUCACAAACAAAUCAAACGUGUCAGUACUAAAACACCUCGAUCUAUAAACUCUCACAAUUAAACAGAUAGAUAAAAUGCAGAAUGAAUGCAACAAGUAAUAAAAACCCACCCAACCAGCCAAACAACUCUCCAUCCCUCAAUCACACCCCAAAAAAAGCUAUUUAAGCUCAUCCAACCAUGCACACCACAUAGGACCUCGAAAGGCUCAACCAACCCUACACACCAAGUAUGUGGACUAAGCCACUCAAAUGUUAAUAUGCAACAGAGCUGACAUAUAAUUCAUACUGUGCAUUGUGGUAAAUCGCUGUACAGACAUGUUGCAGUUGAAACUGCCAAAACAAAUCAAACUCCCUUCUCUUCGCAACCAAACCCAAAAAGAUUAAUGCAAAUGCAAAAUGCACACCAUUUGAAGACAGACUUAUAGAAACAGAGUAUGGAAUCAAAAAUGCACACAUUCAAAUGCCCAGAAUAAGAAUAAGAUAUAACAUAACAUCAUUUAACACUCAACCGAAUCGCUUAAUUAGAGCUAUGAUUGCGAAUAACGCACAAGUCUAGGACAAAACAAUGUCUCGACCACCCUUACCAAGAUCUAGCCAAGGGUCGGAACACACAGAAUCAUAAUCAGAUUAAAAAUAGAAACAGUACAAAAUUUGGCGACAUAAGGCCACACGGCCGUGUGCCCCAGCCGUGUGGGGGUCUACAUGCCCAUGUGAAGGCCACACACACCCGUGUAGAGGGAACACACGCCUGUAAGAGUAACUCGUGUAACUCACUAUCCAAAAAGUGCUAAAAAUAAAGAGUAAAGGCGAAAACAGCCGUCUGGAGAUCUCACACGCUCGUGUGGGACACAGGCCUGUGUGGCCAGGCCGUGUGGUACCAAAAAUCAUCGAAAACUCUAAAUUUCCAACUGUACACGAACGUGUUGACUGCCUAUGUGCGACACACACCCUCGUAUGGUCAUGAAACCAUACCGAAAUAGGCUACAAAACAUGCCUUUUAUGUCGAAACGAUCCCCAAUCCUUAAUUACACAAAAACACACAAAACACACUCAGUUGUUCAAGCAAUUCCACAACAAUCAACACUUCGACUGGUCAAAUUCAAAAACAUACGAAAUAUGUUGAGUUUCACGGAAACAAAUCAGAAAUUCGAUAAGAAAAGGGAGAUUUUUCAGACACACACUUUAGACGCGAUAGCAAACACCAGAAUUGUUCGAUUCGCUCCUCCAAACCGAUUCAAGAACCUUCUUCUCUUUUGAUUUACCAAACACCCGAGAAAAAAACUCCCUUGAUAAUCAACAAAAAUGAUAAAACGAAAGAAGCAAAGAAUCAAAAGAAACUGAAUAUUUUCUUUUUAGGAAGAAUAAAAAUUGAAAAGUUACAGAGAACAAAAAUCUGAGGCAUGACGUAUAUAAAGCAUAUUUGCUUGUGAACAAUAGAGCUUUGUACUAUAAGCUAGGAGAAUAAAAAACACAUGAUAUAAAGCUUAUAUACAACAUCAAUCCCAUUGCAGCAAGGCAAACUCUGGUUUAAAUUAUGACAGCCCAAAAUCACUGUCAAAGCAAAAGAGAAAUUUAAAAACCUAUACUUCCAAUUAUGACAGCCCAAAAUCAUGGUCAAAGUGAAACUUCCAAUUAUGACAUCCAAAAAAUCUUGCACAAGGGUAAAUUGAAACCAUGCACCAAGGCAAACUAAACUUGCAUUUGAAGAGAAAAGUAAGCGAGUGAAGUGAACGCAUCAAGUACAGUAGCAGUGGUGCACAACACUUGUCCUCUGAGAAAAAGAAAAAGAAUUGAAGAAACCUUACUAAUCACUAAUAAACAUAAACAAAUGAAAGACAUAUAAACAUAUAAAACGGAAACAACACUAUAUACAUACAGAGUCGUUUUAAAAUAUUAAGGAAAUAGCAAUGCUUCAGUAAAUAUGUAUAAAUACCUAAUGGUAGUAAAACUUACAAAAUUCAACCAAGAAGCACAUCGAGUGGAUUCUCAUCUGCAAUCAAAUCGGUAGGAAGCUAGAAAGACAGUGAAAUCAACCCAACAUGAUAAACACGCAAUGGUCUUGUUAAAGAAGAGACAAAAAUAUGAAAUUGAAAUAAAAAAGGUGGAACUAAAAAAAAGCCUAAGCAAACACUAAAUUGAAAAAAAUAUUAUGCCUAAUUGUAUGAAAAUGAUACCUAAUUUAAUAGAAGAAAAAAAUUUAAAUGCAUCAUAUAAAAAUGAAAAAUAAAUUAAAAAAAAGAAUUACAGAGGUUAGCAGCAACGCUAUACUUGAACAGGGAAGGGAGUAAUCCCACUCUGAAAUGGAAAGUCCUAAAAUUAAAUAAAUUUGAUUAUGAAAACUACUUUUGAAAAUUUUUUACCCAUCACCGCUAUACUUAAUAGUUUAUGAGAACAAAUAAUUAGGUGAUGAAGUGGGAAGGGAAGAGGGUCGUCUAUCUGUAGGAGCAACGCUAUACUGGAACAAUAAAUAGCAAGUUCAAGAAAAUAUUUUACUUUUUUUUACCAAUAAAAAGCAAGAGAAGAGUCUUUUACCAAUUUUUUCUCGAGAAAGCCAGGGAAGGAGCAAGAAAAUCUAGGGCUUCUUCAUUGGGAAGAAAAAAAGGGGAAGAUAAAUGAAGUGAUAAUUGAC